rnacentral:rRNA from 1 species
CCCUUAGAUGUUCUGGGCUGCACGCGCGCUACACUGUCGGAUUCAGCGAGUCAUAUCCUUAACCGAAAGGUUUGGGUAAUCUUUUGAAAGUCCGACGUGAUGGGGAUUGAUCAUUGCAAUUAUUGAUCAUGAACGAGGAAUUCCUAGUAAGCGCGAGUCAUCAGCUCGCGUUGAUUACGUCCCUGCCCUUUGUACACACCGCCCGUCGCUGCAACUGAUUGGGUGACCUGGUGAACAUCUUGGACCGGCCCACUCAAUUUCGAGAGGACUGGAAAAGGCCGUAAAUCAGGUACAUCUAGAAAUUGCAAAAGUCGUAACA